rnacentral:rRNA from 1 species
CCCGACUGCUAUUUGGGUGAGGAUAAGCCAUGCGAGUUGAAUGGGAUACCCAGAGUUCCCAUGGCAAACUGCUCAGUAACACAUGAUCAACUUACCCUAUAGAGAAAAAUAACCUCGGGAAACUGAGGAUAAUGUUUCGUAGUUGAAUUGGCUUGGAAAAGUUUUUCGACGAAAAGGGUAAAAAGAAUGGUUUUUAUCUGCUAUAGGAUAGGAUCGUGUUCGAUUAUGGUUGUUGGUGAGGUAAUGGCUCACCAAGCCGAUAAUCGAUAGGGGCCGUGAGAGCGGGAGCCCCGAGAUGGGUACUGAGACAACGACCCAGGCCUUACGAGGCGCAGCAGGCGCGGAACCUCCGCAAUACACGAAAGUGUGACGGGGUUACCCAAAGUGUUCAAUUUUGAACUGUGGUAGGUGAGUAAUGUUCCCUACUAGAAAGGAGAGGGCAAGGCUGGUGCCAGCCGCCGCGGUAAAACCAGCUCUUCAAGUGGUCGGGAUAAUUAUUGGGCUUAAAGUGUCCGUAGCCGGUUUAGUAAGUUCCUGGUAAAAUCGGGUAGCUUAACUAUCUAUAUGCUAGGAAUACUACUAUACUAGAGGGCGGGAGAGGUCUGAGGUACUACAGGGGUAGGGGUGAAAUCUUAUAAUCCUUGUUGGACCACCAGUGGCGAAGGCGUCAGACUGGAACGCGCCUGACGGUGAGGGACGAAAGCCAGGGGAGCGAACCGGAUUAGAUACCCGGGUAGUCCUGGCCGUAAACGAUGCAUACUAGGUGAUGGCACGGCCAUGAGCCGUGUCAGUGCCGUAGGGAAACCGUUAAGUGUGCCGCCUGGGAAGUACGGUCGCAAGGCUAAAACUUAAAGGAAUUGGCGGGGGAGCACCACAAGGGGUGAAGCCUGCGGUUC